GACUGGUGUGCAGUCAGUCGAGGACUGGCUUCAGUCUGGUCAAUACUACCUUACACAGCAAACUUUAAUAAGCUAAGAAAUAUCUUCAAUCCUGACAACAGGUCACACCAAUGACUAAAGAAGCAAGUAUCGUGUCGCAGCAUGGACUGCUGAAGGUGUGUUGUGUCGAGCAAGGCAGUCCCUGUGUUGCAGUUGAUCCCCAAAACGCUAGAGGACCAGGAGCUGGAGUCUCUGUAUCAUACACUGCAACACGUGGCAUCUUGGUACAGAAAACACCUUGGACAAGCUUUUCAAGUGAGAAGGGUUGGAUCUGAGAGGGACAUGACCUCUCAGUUGCCUCUCACUACUACUACUACUACUACUACUACUACUACUACUACUACUACUACUACUACUACUACUACUACCCUGCACCUCUCCUUCCGACAGUAUUUAAGUCUCCGCACUGUCGCUUGAUCUUCAGAUAGUUCCUGACUAUGGAACUGAACUUCUCCAGGCCGAGGGACUGACAACCUCAAAUUCUACGACUUUAAGGGUGAUGGACUGAUUACAUCGUCUUCACAUCUCUACUGUUCCUGCCUACUUUCUGUAUUAGACUGAAGAAGCCUACUGUGUAGGCGAAACGUUUCGGAAUAAAGUUGUCUAACUGUUGCAUAUGUGUCUUACCUAACAACCUGUCGGUAUUGUAUACCAUUUUGAUGUUCAUCAUUCAUCUACUGUUUAUCCCAUUGCAUCAUUCAUCUGGUACAUAUCAUUGUCGCCAAACAUUCAUUGUCACUUGGUACCAUUCACUUACACUAAAUCCUCUAGUACCAUUAACCAAUGUGUCAAUUCAUCGACUACUUAUACACCACAAAGUAUAUCUUUCAUGUUAUAUACACCGAGAACUGCAUAUCACCGACUACACGCAAAAAUUUAGAUCUCCGAGUAUAUACACUGAGGUGUUAUUCUCUCGGUAUAUUGAACAUAGUUUACAUUGAUCCUCGUUUAAGGGAUUUUAACAAUCUUGACUGGUAGUGUACAAGUUAAAUUCAUUAAUGAUCAUCGUGUAACCGAUGGACUUGAAAUCUAAUAAUUUUUUUUGCUUUAUUAAAACCAAUUAGUAAAGUAAAGCAACAGUCAAGUCUAUAAUUAAUUUGAAAAAAUAUUGUGCAAACACAUAAACCCUGAGAAUUGUUUUUAAACUAUUACCCAAAUCUUCCUCUUCAUCAUCUUCUUCAUCGUCUUCAAUUUCUU